UUUCUAACUAUACAACAUGGAUUCUUGAAGUGCCUAAAAGAGCUAGCUAUAUCAGGAUAGAAUUGGGAUGAAGUGGGUCACCAUGGAAUUGUGAUGACAAUCCGGCACCGUUGGCCAUGUAUGGGAGAUCGGCACUUAAUGAAAUAUGAUAUGAAUAAUACGGCAAAAUCACAUGUUGGCCUCUUGUUGGUAAUGGAAAAAAAAGAGAAUGGAAAAAUAAUGUGAGGACUGGUUAAGUGAGGAACAGACCAGUUGGUCACGUAUAGGAAAUCGACUCCUUGGUGCACACGUAUAAAAGGACAAACCAUGUGUGAUGACGACUUGUUAGGAGUUUUGUGACGCCACUGACCAAUCCCCAUUUGAUGUAAUUAGUUGAAGGUGAUAUUAUUUAUGGAUGCCGAUGUUGUAACAUUUGCUUGAUUGGAUGAGUUUUCAUCAUAAUAAGUGUGGAAAACAUCCUGUGUGAUCGAUUGAGUUAUAUAUUGUUUAUUAUUAUUAACUGAAUUUGUGAAACUCACCCCUCCUAUAUAUUUUUCCCAGGAGGUAGACAUCUUGCUAGUUCUGAAAGGCUCUGCUUCUUUCUCUGUAGAGUUACAAUAAUAAAUUUCGGUUUUUAGUAA